CAGUGGCGGACGGGUGAGUAACGCGUAGGAAUCUAUCUUUGGAUGGGGGACAACCGUGGGAAACUACGGCUAAUACCGCAUGAUGCCUGAGGGCCAAAGCUUGAGAGAGCGUCUGAAGAGGAGCCUGCGUCUGAUUAGGUAGUUGGUGGGGUAAAGGCCUACCAAGCCUGCGAUCAGUAGCUGGUCUGAGAGGAUGAUCAGCCACAUUGGGACUGAGACACGGCCCAAACUCCUACGGGAGGCAGCAGUGGGGAAUAUUGGACAAUGGGGGCAACCCUGAUCCAGCAAUGCCGCGUGGGUGAAGAAGGUUUUCGGAUUGUAAAGCCCUUUUGGCGGGGACGAUGAUGACGGUACCCGCAGAAUAAGCUCCGGCUAACUUCGUGCCAGCAGCCGCGGUAAUACGAAGGGGGCUAGCGUUGCUCGGAAUGACUGGGCGUAAAGGGCGCGUAGGCGGCUUGCAUAGUUAGGCGUGAAAUUCCUGGGCUCAACCUGGGGACUGCGUCUAAUACAUGCAGGCUUGAGUGUGAAAGAGGGUCGUGGAAUUUCCAGUGUAGAGGUGAAAUUCGUAGAUAUUGGAA
rnacentral:rRNA from 1 species